rnacentral:rRNA from 1 species
AACGCUGGCGGCACGCUUAACACAUGCAAGUCGACGAAAAUGUUUCACCGUAGCUUGCUACACCGAGACAUUUUAGUGGCGGACGGGUGAGUAACACGUGAGGAACCUGCCUAUCAGAGAGGGAUACCGUUUGGAAACGAACGUUAAUACCUCAUAACGUAACGAGAUCGCAUGAUAAUGUUACCAAAGAUUUAUCGCUGAUAGAUGGCCUCGCGUCUGAUUAGAUAGUUGGUGAGGUAACGGCUCACCAAGUCGACGAUCAGUAGCCGGACUGAGAGGUUGAACGGCCACAUUGGGACUGAGAUACGGCCCAGACUCCUACGGGAGGCAGCAGUGGGGAAUAUUGGGCAAUGGGGGAAACCCUGACCCAGCAACGCCGCGUGAAGGAAGAAGGCUUUCGGGUUGUAAACUUCUUUUGUCAGGGACGAGCAGAAGACGGUACCUGACGAAUAAGCCACGGCUAACUACGUG